UUCAUCAUUGGGAGCAACAAUACCUUGCUGAACAAGAUGGGAGCCUCUCUGGCAAAAUCAGUGUCAGAAAGAUGGGCCGGGGGGGCUCAAGGGUCUCCUAUGAGAUUCACCCCUGCAUUCAUACCACUGGCUGAAGCAUCCCCUGGCCAAGGGCAGGGUGACUUGAGCAAUCCAUUGCCUCCUCAAGGCUUUUUCAAUGCACCUGGAAGUCCACCUCCACAAUGGGAUGCAGCCAGGUGGAAGGAGGCCAUACAAAAAAUGAAGCAGAGAGACCAAAUCCGCUACCACGCCAAAGGAGCCGUUAGGCCUUGCAGAACAACCAACAGAUCCAUCCUCCUUCAAACCACCAGAAGAACCCCAAGAAAGAUGACCUCAGAACAGGAACACCAAGCUGUAUCAAAAGAAGCAUGACCAGCACCUCAAGGGAGGUGAUUCUCCCCUCUACUCCACUUAUAUGAGACCCUUCUUGGAGUGCUGCAUCCAGCUCUGGGGUGCCUAACAUAAGAAGGCCAUGGACCUGUUGGAGGGAGUCCAGAGGAAGACAGCUGUGAUGUCCAGAUCAUCUCACAGCUUUCCAAGGGGUUGCUGUAUGCAGAGGCAACAUGGUCUAAGCAAAGGGGAGCACAGUGGCAAAAGGAAUGGCAAGGUGUAACCAAAAAGUUAACCCAAUGUGAUUAACCAAAUCAGCUGUAACUGAACACUUGGAUGGAAAUUUCCACCUUUCGCUGGUGGCAUUGAGCAGCAUAAUGUAACGGCUUAUCCUGGAAAGUGUCUCUUUCUAACACCAUGAAAGAGAAAGAAGCUCAUCAGAUGUACAUUCAAAAAUGCACAUAAUAAAUAAGCAAUGCCAAUUCAUAACUGUUCUAGUAGACCAUCAUGGGAACAAAAUUAAAAAAAAAAAAAACAAACAAACAAAAAAAAAAACUUUUCUGGAGUCAGAAACAGUUAACCUUUGAUAUUCCUACCUUCCCCCUACCAAACCUUCUCAUAUAAAGACAGACAAAGUUAAAUACUCAAAUAUAUGCUUAAUUUUGAUGGUACAAUAUUUAACAACAUACCGAGAAUAUCAACUCAGUGCAUGAACCAUGACAUAUCCCAUAAAGCCAUAGCAUAAUUGCAUGUGAACUCUGUAGAAAUGUCAAUCAACUGAAUUCUGUGGAAGUUAACAGAGAAACUCUCUUGAAUGUGCUAUUAGAAGUCCUCAAGCAUUAAAAAGUCUCUAAACCCCACAGCUGAAAACCUAUCAUGCUUGAAUAACUGUAACAAGCACAGUAAUAGGUGUAUGGCCUCUGAGGCUGUUUGGAAAAGUACAAGACACUUUAUUAUUCUUUUCUGUGAAUGAUAAACCUCAAGUAAUGUGUUGUAGGCUAUUUUUACCACACACAGAACAAAUAAAUCAGUUUAAGGAAGUAUGUUUUCCACACAAGUCCAUUAGCAGAGAAUAGAUGGAGAAAGACAUAAUGGACUCUUUAUGACAGUUUACCUGGAAGAAUAAAGGGGGACAAGAAACUGUAUCUGGGGACAAGAAACUGUAUUAAGCAUUGAAUAAGACACAGACAGCCUUUUAUUGCAUCAUUUUGCAUUUUCAGAACACUGUACACCCUGACCUAAUUAAGGCUUCAUAGUUACUUCUUCAAUAUUUUUUGGCAUUUAAUCAUUAGUUUAUAAACACAGAACAGAGAUAUAAUGCGGACAAUAUCAGUUUAGGAGCCUGAAAUUAAAAAAAGUUUCAAGACAUCAUGAAGGAUUCAGAAACACAAAUCUCACUGAAAGCCAGUCUCUUUCACUGACAAGAAAGCAUAUUGUGGGGUGUCUAGCUCAUAGAUAUUUUAUUGACGUACUCCAGGCAUGUCUUUUUGGAUGCUGAAAGGUUUACAACAAAAGAAAGUAACUUCCUCCUUUUGACUGCACGGUGUAUUUCAUUUUCAGGUAUUACAUUAUUUAUAAUAUUGGCUUUAAUAAACCACACACACAGAAUCACAAAGUUGGAAGAGAUCUUUAAGACCCUCAAGUCCAACCCAUGCCCUAACACCUCAACUAAACCAUGACACCGAGUGCCUCAUCCAAUCUUUUUUUUUAAACACAUCCAGGGAUGGUGACUCCACCACCUUCCUGGGCAGAUUGUUCCAGAACUUUAUCACCCCUUCCAUAAAAGUUUUUUCCUAAUAUACAGCCUAUGUUUCCCUUGGCGCAGCUUAAGACUUUAUCCUCUCAUUCAGUCAGUUGCUGCCUGGAAAAGAGACCAAACCCCACCUGACUACAUCCCCCUUUCAGGCAGUUGUGGAGAAUGAUGAAGUCACCCCUGAAUCUCCUUUUCUCCAGGCUAAACAACCCCAGCUCCCUCAGUCAUUUCUCACAGGACUUGUGUUCCAAGCCCCUUACUAGCCUUGCUGCCCUCCUCUGGAUGUGCUCAAGCGACUCAACGUCCUUCCCAAACUGGGGGGCCCAGAACUGGACACAGCACUCACAUCUGUCACAAAACAGUGCAACUGAACAAACAUCUUUUAUAGCUUCAGUCAAAUGCCCUGGAUCAUCAAAACUGUGAAUUAAUUUAGAGGUUACUAAAAUCUGUCUAGCUUUAACCACAUUAGAGCAUCACAUCCAAUAAGCGUUGGUUGUGUGUGUGAAGAGUGCUACAGAAGGUAUACAAUCAAUCUAGAAACUGUGAUUUUUCAGUUUAUUGUUC